CAGUCACUCACGUUGCCUGCCGGGAGUUGUAGUUUUAACUGGAUUUCUUUCGUCGUCUUCCCGACUCUGGGGCCCAAGGGAAGGAGUAUGAGAGACCACAUUUCCUAGGAUGCCUUGCGGCCCGUCCAGUCUAACUUCCCCCUUAGGCGGAGGGAAGACUACGGGGAAGCUUGGUAAAAACAGUUAAAUGGAAGGGGUGUCGGAAGCGGAGGGUCUGAAGUUCACGACUCCUAGAAGGGGCGGUGAAUGAAAGGCUCUCGGUGAAGAAGGUCCAGAACCCUUCAGAUCAACUUACAAGAAGUUCAAUAUGUAAAACAGAUAAAUGUGCUUGUAAUGAGAAAGGAUGAGAGUUAUUCCAACCUGCCAGCACGUCAUACCCCCAUUCCCACCCUCACCUCAGGGAAGGCUCCAGGGAGUACUUUGAAAACCAUUGGAAAAAGUCAUCCCCUCUUAAAUGACAAAAUGCCAUAUUCCCUUGGUACACACUUGUGUAUUUUCAGUUGUGGGUCCUUCUGGUUGUGGCAUGUGGGAUGCCACCUCAGCAUGCCUUGAUGAGUGGUGCCACAUCCACUCCCAGGAUUCGAACUGGCGAAACCCUGGGCUGCUGAAG
rnacentral:lncRNA from 1 species